rnacentral:tRNA from 1 species
GCACCAUUAGCUCAGUUGGUUAGAGCAACCGGCUCAUAACCGGUCGGUCGUAGGUUCAAGUCCUUCAUGGUGCA